rnacentral:rRNA from 1 species
UGCAGUCGAGCGGCAGCGCGGUCUUCGGACUGGCGGCGAGCGGCGAACGGGUGAGUAAUACAUCGGAACAUGCCCAGUCGUGGGGGAUAACACUUCGAAAGAAGUGCUAAUACCGCAUACGUCCUGAGGGAGAAAGCGGGGGAUCGCAAGACCUCGCGCGAUUGGAGUGGCCGAUGUCAGAUUAGCUAGUUGGUGGGGUAAAGGCCUACCAAGGCAACGAUCUGUAGCUGGUCUGAGAGGAUGAUCAGCCACACUGGGACUGAGACACGGCCCAGACUCCUACGGGAGGCAGCAGUGGGGAAUUUUGGACAAUGGGGGCAACCCUGAUCCAGCCAUUCCGCGUGAGUGAAGAAGGCCUUCGGGUUGUAAAGCUCUUUCGGCAGGAACGAAACGGCGAGCUCUAACAUAGCUCGCUAAUGACGGUACCUGAAGAAGAAGCACCGGCUAACUACGUGCCAGCAGCCGCGGUAAUACGUAGGGUGCGAGCGUUAAUCGGAAUUACUGGGCGUAAAGCGUGCGCAGGCGGUUGUGUAAGACAGGUGUGAAAUCCCCGGGCUUAACCUGGGAACUGCGCUUGUGACUGCACGGCUAGAGUAUGGCAGAGGGGGGUGGAAUUCCACGUGUAGCAGUGAAAUGCGUANAGAUGUGGAGGAACACCGAUGGCGAAGGCAGCCCCCUGGGCCAAUACUGACGCUCAUGCACGAAAGCGUGGGGAGCAAACAGGAUUANAUACCCUGGUAGUCCACGCCCUAAACAUGUCCACUAGGUGUUCGGUGAGGAAACUCAUUGAGUACCGCACCUAACGCCUGAAGUCCACCGCCUGGGGAGUACGGUUCCCAGAUUUAAACCCGGGCGAAUUUGUUCCGGACCCGCCCAGGCUUUUGGAUUAU